UGGGGAAUCUUGGGCAAUGGGCGAAAGCCUGACCCAGCAACGCCGCGUGAGGGAUGAAGGCCCUCGGGUCGUAAACCUCUGUCGGGAGGGAAGAACGGUGACGUUUCAAAUAGGCUCGUCACCUGACGGUACCUCCAAAGGAAGCACCGGCUAACUCCGUGCCAGCAGCCGCGGUAAUACGGAGGGUGCAAGCGUUGUUCGGAAUCACUGGGCGUAAAGCGCGUGUAGGCGGCUUGGCAAGUCGGAUGUGAAAUCCCGGGGCCCAACCCCGGAACUGCAUCCGAAACUGCCUCGCUAGAGUCUCGGAUAGGAAGGCAGAAUUCCCGGUGUAGGGGUGAAAUCCGUAGAUAUCGGGAGGAAUACCGGCGGCGAAGGCGGCCUUCUGGACGAUGACUGACGCUGAGACGCGAAAGCGUGGGGAGCAAACAGGAUUAGAUACCCGUGUAGUCC
rnacentral:rRNA from 1 species